UCGGUGUGUUUUUACUAGGGCUA
rnacentral:siRNA from 1 species